rnacentral:miRNA from 1 species
GCAGACACAUUCCAGCCAAUCAGCAGCAGACCCUCCCUCCCAGACCCUUCCACCUCCUGGACAGCAUCCAUUGUGAAGCUGCAUUCUUAGUGAGCUGUCCAGGAGGUGGGAGGGUCUGGGAGGGAGGGUCUGCUGCUGAUUGGCUGGAAUGUGUCUG